rnacentral:lncRNA from 1 species
UUUGUUUUUGUCUGUUUGUGUUCAGGCGUAAGUCGCACCUUUGCCCUAGGCAACCUAUACACGACUAUGCCACCUAUCUUAUCUUAAUGAAUGCAUUAGUAUUUUCGGCACUUGAUUGAUUGCACUUGCACUAUACCACCCCCUUGGCACUCCCCUCUAUGCCACUUUCCUCUCGCCUUUAUCAACAACCAAAGGCCAGCAAGACCGGACUCAUUGAGGAUCCACCUCGACGGACCACUAACACUGAAGACCUUGACUACAACGUUCUCAAGCAGAUGCGACCUCGUAGAGAUGUGCUUUUCACUCAAGAUUCGGUACCCUCCCUAGACUAACCUAGAUCUCACAAGCUACCCUAGC